GUCCUCGUCCCCUCGGGCCAGUUGAGGAGCUCUACGACGACAUCUACGAUGACCUCUCAGGCCCGGAAGAGAACAUCCCUCCCUUUCUCAAGUUGUUCGGUGGUCCCAACAAGCAGGUCGGUGG
rnacentral:SRP_RNA from 16 species